AACCAAGAGAAAAAAAAGAAAUUUUCGUCCCUGUACUUCUCCUCGGGACAGCCACAGCUCCACGGCUCCAUGGCUAUUGGCCCCAUGCAUUUCACAGUCAUCUCUACAGAACAUGACUGGAGCUCGACCAGCGAACAAUACGCUUGGAUGAAAUCUGACCUUGAAUCUGUCGGCAGAUUCAGUACACCAUGGAUAGUUUUCACAGGUCAUCGACCUAUGUACUCCACUCAACUGCGGGGGAUUUAUUUCUAAACUUUACCAGGUGUGGAUCCGAAAUUUGUAGCAGCUGUGGAACCAUUGCUCUUGAGAAACAAGGUUGAUUUAGCAGUGUGGGGGCAUGUUCACAAUUACCUGCGAACUUGUGCUGUGUUUCAGGGCGCUGCCUGCAGCACCCGAUCAAGGAUUUAGCAGGCGUCGAUUUCUUUGACACUACAAUUUACUCAGCUCCAGUUCACACCGUGGUUGGCAUGGCUGAAUUCACCUUGGAUGACUUCCCUCAUAAUGUAAGCUUGCAGCUUUGUUUCCUAUAUUCAAGCUCUUUAUAUGGUAUUGAUAUUCUACCUUUUCUAUUUUUUUUGUCGACAGUUUAGUUCAUGGAGCUUGAUUCGAAGGUCGGCAUUUGGAUAUGCAAGAGUGACAGCUGAUAAGACAAAGCUACUGUUUGAGGUAGAUGAAUUGCGUUCUUGGUUCUUGCAUGUUACUUAUUUAUUUUUCAUUCCAGUACAUUACAACGGACGGACAGUAGCUGACCGAUUUAAAAUUGCCAGGCUAGAUUGGGGAUUUUCCAGGCCAUGAACGAUUUCAAGCUUUACAAGUUCAAUAGUUGGCUUGUAGAGCUUGCUGAUUUACUUGACACUGCCAAGAGCUCUUGCUUUGCUGCACA